UAAGUCGAAUCUCCGCGACACCAUCACCACCGCCUCCUCUCGGAAACCACUUCCCGGCGGUCGUCGCAUCUGCAGUCGCCGGUAAAGAGAGACUCGGAUCCCAUUCAGGGGGGGAGUAAGGGAGGAGAUGGGGAACGUGAGCGGGAGGGAUGGGGUCGAGGACGGCGGCGACGAGGACGCCUCCGUUCGAUCGAGAUCCGACGCCGAUCCCGGCUCCACCCACGUCCGCCGCGUCCGAUCCGUCGACUCCGUCGAGAGCUGGCCGCCGGAGAGCCCCGGCCGCUCCCGAUCCCCUCUCAUGUUCGCUCCCCAGGUUCCGGUACCUCCCUUGCAUGGAGCUACUGAUGCCCCUCCUGUAUUUAAUCAACUAUGGAUGAAUGAGCCUGAUCAACUCUCGGAUGGUCCCCUUGAAAAGGGAAUUCCAACACUGAUAACAUGGAACCGAGGGGGAAAUGUUGUCCUCGUAGAAGGAUCAUGGGACGACUGGGCUUCAAGGAAGCAUUUGCAGAGGUCAGGCAAGGACCAUGCCAUUUUAAUGGUUCUCCCUUCGGGAGUAUACCGAUACAAGUUCAUCGUGGAUGGACAAUUAAAAUACAUUCCUGAUCUUCCUUUUGUUAGUGAUGAGAUGGGGAACAUCACUAAUCUCCUUGAUGUCCAUGAUUAUGUUCCUGAAAAUGUGGAGAGCAUUUCUGAGUUUGAUUUGCCGCCCUCACCUGACUCCAGCUACAGUUGGUCGCUCACAGAUGAAGAUUUUGCCAAGGAACCGCCACUCGUUCCAUCCCAGCUGCACCUUACCGUUCUUGGGAUGCAGAACACUGAUGAAGAAGCGUCGCCGAAGCCCCAGCACGUGGUCCUCAACCAUCUUUUCAUAGAGAAAGGAUCCUCUUCCCAGUCGAUGGUGGCCCUUGGCCUGAGCCAUAGGUUCCAGUCCAAGUAUGUGACCGUCGUUCUUUACAAACCUGUGAGAAGGUGACGCAUUCCUCAGCUUCUUUGCACCGCCGAAACACGCUGCUGCUGCUGCUACUAACAUGGGGUUGAUUUGUAUUCGGUAAUUGGCCAUCAAUUGCCACCAUAACCUCUCUCCGCUCAGACAAAGAGUCAAGCAGUCUCAGCCUGAGAAGGGAAAAAAUGUCGCCGGGAGGCAAGCACAUGGUGGCGCAAGAAGCGGCGGCGGGCGGUGGCCAUGGAGCACAGCUUUCAAAGGGGCCACGCCACGUGAGAUAUCCUUUUUGUCAUCGAUGUGGCCAACACUUUGCGAGUUGCUUAUAAGAAGCCCAGACUUUAAAGUGGAGGGAUGUAAAGCCAAUAAUUCUGUUUUAAAGCUUAGAAAUUAACAUGAACCGAGAAUGAAUCGGGUCUGGUCGAUCGACCUAAACCGCCCUAAUGAACCGGUCCGGUCGCAUCUGUUUUCGAACCAGAUCGAUUGGGUGAUAUCCUUUUAGAGGGAAAUAUAUAAUAAUAAUAAAGGCUGAUCCUUUAAUGGGAUCCAAAUAAUUCUGUUUUAAAGCUUAGAAAUUAACAUGGCUCUCCGCCUACCUCCCCUCCCUCUCCUUCGCUCCUUCCGCCGCCUCCUCUCAUCCUGCCCUUUCCCAUCCCAUUGCAGCAACCCUCCGUAAGUAUUCUUCCAAUCUCUUUCCCUUUCCUUUCUUUCUUUCUUUCUUUAUCGAGGUGAAUCUUGUGUUUUGUAUACUUAUUUCCACACUCAGCAUGCAUGUUUCGUUUCAGUUUAUUUUCACUCCGUGUGCUUUUGUUUCUAAUUGCCGUUUGUUGGUUUGUUGCUGUUGCUGCCUUGGGCUUGCUUCUUAGGUGUGGAUUAUGAGUAGCAUUAGAUCAAUAUGUCAUCUUUUCCUGUAAGCAAAAUCAGGUUGUGGGAUGAUGUUUGUCCUUUUAGCUUAAUAUUGUCUAUUGAGUUGUCUGUCCGAAUCACUAUACAGAUGCAGGAAGAGGAUCUAAUUCAAUUCCAUUUGAUAUGUCAUGUUCUUCGAGCUGCCUAAUUUCUGUGACCACUAAUUUAUCAUGGGAAUGACUAUAUAUAGGUCUACUUGUUUCUUAGAUUCUUCCUUUUGAAUUGGAAGUACUCACUAUGAUUGGUGUAGCCACGUUUUGAUGUUACUCUUUCCAGCUUUGAGGUUGCAGAGGAGUCUUGUCCUUCGAGCAAGACCCUUUAAUAGAGAGAGCAUUUCCUCACCAUUCGGCCUUCGGGAAGAGGAGAUUGGUAACAGUUUGUGCUUCUUCGGAUCCUGAUGGAAAGGAUGGAAUCGGACCUGAGGCAGUGGAGAACCUCCCUCUGGAGUCGAAGCUGCAAAUGAGACUCGAGCAGAAGUUGAAGAUGAAACUUGCCAAGAAGAUACGGCUUCGGCAGAAGAGGCUCUUGCGCAAGCAGAGGAUGAGGAAGAAGGGGCGAUGGCCGCCUUCCAAGAUGCCUUUGCAGGUUUGGAGCUGCCUCUUCAUUUACCAAUCUGCAAUCUUGCAUUGUGUGUUCUUUCACUAAAUACUUAUCUCAAUUUUUUUUUUUAUUUUGCUUGCAUGUUCCUACGCUUGAACGACAUUGACUUUGUUUAUGAAAUCCUUGUGUGAUGUUUUUCUUUA